rnacentral:rRNA from 1 species
AUUGAACGCUGGCGGCAUGCCUUACACAUGCAAGUCGAACGGCAGCACGGGAGCAAUCCUGGUGGCGAGUGGCGAACGGGUGAGUAAUGCAUCGGAACGUACCCGGAAGUGGGGGAUAACGUAGCGAAAGUUACGCUAAUACCGCAUAUUCUGUGAGCAGGAAAGCAGGGGAUCUUCGGACCUUGCGCUGAUUGAGCGGCCGAUAUCAGAUUAGCUAGUUGGUGAGGUAAAGGCUCACCAAGGCGACGAUCUGUAGCGGGUCUGAGAGGAUGAUCCGCCACACUGGAACUGAGACACGGUCCAGACACCUACGGGUGGCAGCAGUCGAGAAUAAUUCACAAUGGGGGCAACCCUGAUGGUGCAACGCCGCGUGGAGGAUGACGGUCUUCGGAUUGUAAACUCCUGUCAUCCGGGAGUAAGACCUGGCUGUGAAUAGCAGACAGGGUUGAUAGUACCGGAAGAGGAAGGGACGGCUAACUUCGUGCCAGCCGCCGCAGUAACAC